AGGAUCAUUAUUGAAACUUGAACAGGCUGUUGCUGGCUCCUUGAGGGCAUGUGCACGCCUUGUCAUUAUUUCUCCUCUGUGCACCAACUGUAGGUCUGAAGAGUCUUUGAAAUUAUUUUCGAUUGAGGACUGCUGUGCUUCCUUGCAUCUUCAGGUCUAUGUUUUUUUUUUACAACCUCUCAAUGUGUUUGGAAUGUUGGAUCAUAAAUAUACAACUUUCAGCAACGGAUCUCUUGGCUCUCGCAUCGAUGAAAAACGCAGCGAAAUGCGAUAAGUAAUGUGAAUUGCAAAAUUCAGUGAAUCAUCGAAUCUUUGAACGCAUCUUGCGCUCCUUGGUAUUCCGAGGAGCAUGCCUGUUUGAGCGUCAUCAAGUUCUCAAGCACAUUGAUUUGCUUUGAUGUGGAUUGGAUGUGGGGUUUGCAGGCCUUUCAAAAGGUCUGCUUUCCUGAAAUGGAUCAGUGGUAUCUGAGCAAAGACUACUAUGGGUGUGAAUAACUAUCUACGCCUUUGCACUGCACAGACUGCUUCAAACCUCAUUGUUGACCAAUUUGACCUCAAAUCAGGUAGGACUACCCGCUGAACUUAAGCAUAUCAAA
rnacentral:sRNA from 1 species